UGGGGAAUUUUGGACAAUGGGCGAAAGCCUGAUCCAGCAAUGCCGCGUGUGUGAAGAAGGCCUUCGGGUUGUAAAGCACUUUUGUCCGGAAAGAAAUCCUUGGCUCUAAUACAGUCGGGGGAUGACGGUACCGGAAGAAUAAGCACCGGCUAACUACGUGCCAGCAGCCGCGGUAAUACGUAGGGUGCAAGCGUUAAUCGGAAUUACUGGGCGUAAAGCGUGCGCAGGCGGUUUGCUAAGACCGAUGUGAAAUCCCCGGGCUCAACCUGGGAACUGCAUUGGUGACUGGCAGGCUAGAGUAUGGCAGAGGGGGGUAGAAUUCCACGUGUAGCAGUGAAAUGCGUAGAGAUGUGGAGGAAUACCGAUGGCGAAGGCAGCCCCCUGGGCCAAAUACUGACGCUCAUGCACGAAAGCGUGGGGAGCAAACAGGAUUAGAUACCCUGGUAGUCCACGCCCUAAACGAUGUCAACUAGUUGUUGGGGAUUCAUUUCCUUAGUAACGUAGCUAACGCGUGAAGUUGACCGCCUGGGGAGUACGGUCGCAAGAUUAAAACUUAAAUGAAUUGAC
rnacentral:rRNA from 1 species